UCCCUGGUGGUCCAGUGGUUAGGACUCUGUGCUUCAACUGCAGGGGCCACAGUUUCAAACCCUAGUUGGGGAA
rnacentral:tRNA from 1 species